GCUGGCGGCAGGCCUAACACAUGCAAGUCGAGCGCGCCUUCGGGCGAGCGGCGGACGGGUUAGUAACGCGUGGGAACGUGCCCAGAUCUACGGAAUAGCCACUGGAAACGGUGAGUAAUACCGUAUACGCCCUUCGGGGGAAAGAUUUAUCGGAUUUGGAUCGGCCCGCGUUAGAUUAGGUAGUUGGUGGGGUAACGGCCUACCAAGCCUACGAUCUAUAGCUGGUUUUAGAGGAUGAUCAGCAACACUGGGACUGAGACACGGCCCAGACUCCUACGGGAGGCAGCAGUGGGGAAUCUUGGACAAUGGGGGCAACCCUGAUCCAGCCAUGCCGCGUGAGUGAAGAAGGCCCUAGGGUCGUAAAACUCUUUCGCCUGUGAUGAUAAUGACAGUAGCAGGUAAAGAAACCCCGGCUAACUCCGUGCCAGCAGCCGCGGUAAUACGGAGGGGGUUAGCGUUGUUCGGAAUUACUGGGCGUAAAGCGCACGUAGGCGGAUUAGAAAGUUAGAGGUGAAAUCCCGGGGCUCAACCCCGGAACUGCCUUUAAAACUACUAGUCUAGAGUUCGAGAGAGGUGAGUGGAAUUCCGAGUGUAGAGGUGAAAUUCGUAGAUAUUCGGAGGAACACCAGUGGCGAAGGCGGCUCACUGGCUCGAUACUGACGCUGAGGUGCGAAAGUGUGGGGAGCAAACAGGAUUAGAUACCCUGGUAGUCCACACCGUAAACGAUGAAUGCCAGUCGUCGGGUAGUAUACUAUUCGGUGACACACCUAACGGAUUAAGCAUUCCGCC
rnacentral:rRNA from 1 species